rnacentral:rRNA from 1 species
UACAGAGGUCUCAAGCGUUGUUCGGAUUUAUUGGGCGUAAAGGGCGCGUAGGCGGCGGGGUAAGUCGGGUGUGAAAUCUCAAGGCUCAACCCUGAAACUGCACUUGAUACUGCUCUGCUUGAGGACUGGAGAGGAGACUGGAAUUCACGGUGUAGCAGUGAAAUGCGUAGAUAUCGUGAGGAAGACCAGUGGCGAAGGCGGGUCUCUGGACAGUUCCUGACGCUGAGGCGCGAAGGCCAGGGGAGCAAACGGG